rnacentral:rRNA from 1 species
AUUGAACGCUGGCGGCAGGCCUAACACAUGCAAGUCGAGCGAGAGGGAGAAGGGUGAGUAAUGUAUGGGAAACUGCCUGAUGGAGAGGGAUAACUACUGGAAAAGGUAGCUAAUACCGCAUAACCUCAGAUGUGCCCAGAUGGGAUUAGCUAGUAGGUGGGGUAACGGCUCACCUAGGAGACGAUACCUAGCUGGUCUGAGAGGAUGACCAGCCACACUGGAACUGAGACACGGUCCAGACUCCUACGGGAGGCAGCAGUGGGGAAUAUUGCACAAUGGGCGCAAGCCUGAUGCAGCCAUGCCGCGUGUGUGAAGAAGGCCUUCGGGUUGUAAAGCACUUUCAGCGGGGAGGCGUUACCCGCAGAAGAAGCACCGGCUAACUCCGUGCCAGCAGCCGCGGUAAUUC